rnacentral:rRNA from 1 species
AUGGCAGAGGCUGCUGUUACUGCGGUGCUCGGAAACUUGAGCAACAUUGCGAUCCAGGAGACCACAUUCUUGUGUGCAGUCACCCUUGAAGUGGGGCUCUUGAGAGCUGAGCUGGUGAGGUUGCAGGCCUACCUCAAAGACGCUGACAGAAAAUGGAGGUCAGGAAAUGUAAGAGUUGCUGUCUUGGUGAGCCAGAUCAGAGAUGUGGCGUAUGAGGCUCAGAAUGUCAUCGAAGCUGCAGAUUACAUGGAGAAGAGAAACAGGCUAAAGAGGGGUUUCAUGGGUGCCAUCUCAAGGUAUGCUCGUUUGCCGAGUGACUUGGUCACCCUUCAUAGUGUCGGUGCGAAAAUUCAGAGAGUAAAGAGGAAGCUUACUGAUAUUUUUGCAAGUGCAGCAAAUUUGGAAAUUCAUUUGGGUGACACUUCUGUGGUUGAGGAUGAGUUUCCAACGGAUUUCGGUCAUAUGCACCAAAACUCUGAUGAUGAUAUUUUCAUGGUUGGUUUUGAGGAUGAGCAUAAAGAAAUAGUGGACAAAUUAGUUGACAAUGAGGAAAUGCUUAGUGCUGUGUCCAUAGUUGCCAUGGGUGGAGCAGGGAAAACUACACUCGCAAGAAAAGUAUACACUUCAUCCAGAGUUAAAGAGCACUUCAACACAGUUGCUUGGGUGACUGUAUCUCAAACAUUCAAGGGCAUUGAGUUACUAAAGGAUAUUAUGAAACAAAUAAUAGAGGACAAAGAUGGCUGUAAAGAAAUUGAUGAAAUGGAUGAGUACCAGUUGGGAAAGAAGAUCCAUGACUUCCUCUUGCAAAAAAGAUACCUAGUAGUUCUCGAUGAUGUGUGGGAAACUGACACAUGGGAGCAGUUGAACACAACAGUUAAAGCCUUUCCAGAUGCAUCAAAUGGUAGCAGAGUAUUGUUAACUACACGGAAGGAAGAUGUUGCAAAUCAUGUUCAGAUGCCAACCCAUGUUCAUUAUCUGAAGAAGCUAGAUGAAGAGAGGAGUUGGGAGCUUUUUAGUAGCAAAGCACUACCAUCAUAUAAAAGGUCUUCUAUAGAUGAUGUGGAUGAGUUUGAAAAACUUGGAAGAAAGCUUGUAGACAAGUGUGAUGGAUUGCCACUUGCACUUGCAAUAUUGGGUGGUUAUCUGGCAAAGAAUCUAAAUAUAGAAGCAUGGUCAUAUGUACUAUUGGGUUGGGUGUCAAUUGAUGAUUCAAAGAGGAUGAGAGACAUACUAGCUCGCAGUUACAAAGACCUAUCAAGUCAUUAUAUAAGAUCUUGUUUUCUCUAUCUUGCUGCUUUUCCCGAGGAUUUUGUAAUAAUCGUGUCAGAUCUUAUUCAGUUAUGGAUAGCAGAAGGCUUCAUUCCCCAUAUACCAAACCAUAAACCAGAACAAAUAGCACACAUGUAUGUAACCGAGUUGGCUCAAAGAAGUCUUGUCCAAGUUGUUGACAGAAGCAAGGGACACAGAUGGAUUGAGAGAAUACAACUUCAUGAUAUCUUACGUGAGUGGUGCAUAGAAGAAGCAAGACAAGAUGGUUUUCUUGAUGUCAAUACUGAAAUUACAGGCCAAGUUAGUGCAUCAUCUUCUAAUACCCAGAAAUUCUAUCGCUCCACUCUCCAAAACUCUGGUGAUCUGUUUUUACAGACAACACUCGAUCUACGAACUCUCAUUGGCUUUCAACUUUCAUCAAUACCCAAGAUGACUUUUCUACGAGUUCUUCGCAUUGAAAAUUCAAGCUUAAGUGGUGCCUCUAGAAUAAUCUAUGGGUGCAUUAACCUUAGAUGUCUCAGGUUGAGACGGUGUUCCGGUUUCGCGCUCACUUCUUCAAUUAGAAAACUCCUGUAUCUGCAAACUAUCGAUUUGGCAAGCACAUGGCACUCAAGCAAGAAUCUCAUGCCAAAAUCCUUCUGGCAUAUCCCGACCCUAAGGCAUGUUUACCUUAAUGACGGGUUUCCGCCACCUAAGAGGAGUGUUCACCAAAACAACCUUGAGACCUUUGCCGUUCAAAUUCUUCAUAAUAACAUGGUCAAGUUUGUGAGCCAAAUGACAAAACUAACAACCUUAUGCCUUUGUUUUACCAAUAAAGCUAAGGACUUGUUGUGUAUAUUUGCGAACAUGCCUCACCUAGUUCAUCUUACCAUUGGUCGGGUUCCCUCAUUUUCUUAG